rnacentral:lncRNA from 10 species
ACACACUUAGUGCUGUGCAUAAUUGUUAUUGUGCUUCAUAGUAAUUAGGCAUAAGUGGUAAGCGAUUUACAUAAAUAACUGUGGUUAGUUGUGCUUUUACACUGCCAAGUCAAAAUUUUACAAUUGUUUCUUCUUCUUGUGUUAGCUGUCCAGUAUACGUGUGUGUGUGUAUACACUGAUAUAAAGUUUAAUCAUAUCAUGUAAUAAUAACUAGCAUUUAUUCAAGUAUGUGAGGAACUCUUCUAAGUGCUUUACCUGUAUCAUCUUUUUAAAUUUCCGUAGCAACUCCAUGGGGUGGGUACUAUACUUUUCACUGAGUGUUUAUUCUGUGCACACGAAGUACUUUUAUUUAUUUAUUUAGAGAGAGGGACUUGCUCUGUUGUCCAGACUCAAGAAAUCUUCCGGCCAGGUGUGGUGGCU